GACUGCUAUCGGAUUGAUACUAAGCCAUGUGAGUCUUUGCAGUAAUGCAAGGCAGACGGCUCAGUAACACGUAGUCAACUUACCCUAUGGACGAGGAUAAUCUCGGGAAACUGAGCAUAAUACUCGAUAGAUCAUAAUGCCUGGAAUGGUUUAUGAUUAAAAUGAUUCGUCGCCAUAGGAUGGGACUGCGGCCUAUCAGCUUGUUGGUGAGGUAAUGGCCCACCAAGGCGAUUACAGGUACGGGCUCUGAGAGGAGAAGCCCGGAGAUGGGUACUGAGACACGGACCCAGGCCCUAUGGGGCGCAGCAGGCGAGAAAACUUUGCAAUGUGCGAAAGCACGACAAGGUUAAUCCGAGUGAUUUCUGCUAAAGAAAUCUUUUGCCAGUCAUAAAACCACUGGUGAAUAAGGGGUGGGCAAGUUCUGGUGUCAGCCGCCGCGGUAAAACCAGCACCUCAAGUGGUCAGGAUGAUUAUUGGGCCUAAAGCAUCCGUAGCCGGCUUUGUAAGUUUUCGGUUAAAUCCAUGUGCUCAACGCAUGGGCUGCCGAAAAUACUGCAUGGCUAGGGAGUGGGAGAGGUAGACGGUACUCAGUAGGAAGGGGUAAAAUCCUUUGAUCUAUUGAUGACCACCUGUGGCGAAGGCGGUCUACCAGAACACGUUCGACGGUGAGGGAUGAAAGCUGGGGGAGCAAACCGGAUUAGAUACCCGGGUAGUCCCAGCUGUAAACGAUGCAGACUCGAUGAUGCAUUGGCAUAAUAGCCAGUGCAGUGUCGCAGGGAAGCCGUUAAGUCUGCCGCCUGGGAAGUACGUACGCAAGUAUGAAACUUAAAGGAAUUGGCGGGGAGCACACAAGGGUGAAGCCUGCGGUCAAUUGGA
rnacentral:rRNA from 1 species